rnacentral:lncRNA from 1 species
AUGAGAACUCGUAGUCCCUUUCCAUUGAUCUAGUACAUAUUUAUACACAGUGAAGGGGUGUCUUUGUACCCCUUCGUGGAUUACAGAGAGAGAGAAAGAGUUACAACUUUUCACUAACAGACACCUUUUCUAACAGACACCUAAUCACUAACUAUUUCUAUUUUCCGGAGUCCUUUGCUUCAUGCAUCCUGGCGACGAACGGUUGUACCUUUUCCUGAACGGGUGUCUUUUCAUAAAGAUGAGAUCACCGUAGAAUUAAUUCUUAACACUCCCCCUUGAUCGAAUCCAUUUUAUUGAGAUCAACUUGGAAUAUAUAAACUAACAAUCUCUAAUCUAUUAUGUCUAUUAUUAUCUUGUAAAAACCCUGUGGGAAAAAUAGAUGAUAUGACAUAUGUCCUAUAUUGAUAUUACCUCAUUAAAAACUUUAUAUGGUAAAACCUCAUCGAGGGAAAAAUCCAUAGAAAGAAAAGAGUAUAAUAUAAUGUCAACUAGAUUAUAUUUUGGAGAGUGAUACUCCCCCUGAUUCCUGCAAAUCUCUAAGUCGUCUCAUACCUAUUCCUUUAACAUAUUUCGAAAAUGUGGAAUAUGGUAAUGACUUUGUAAAUAAGUCACCAAGAUUAUCACAUGACUUAGUUUGCAAAAUGUUUAUUUCCCCAUCCUUUUGUAACUCAUGAGGGUAAAACAAUUUUGGUGCAAUAUGUUUUGUAAUAUUACUUUUUAUAUAACCAGUCUCCAUCUGAACAACACAGGCAGCAUUAUCUUCAUAGAUAAUGGUUGGUGAGUUAAUUGAACCAAUGCCACAUGACUGCGUUAUGUGGUUUAUCAUUCUGCGAAGCCAAGUACACUCCUUAGAGGCUUCAUAUAAUGCAAUAAUUUCAGAAUGAUUAGUGGAGGUAGCUACCAAAGUUUGUUUGGAUGAUUUCCAAGAGAUAGCAGUUCCACCCUGUAAAAAUACAAAACCGGUUUGAGAUCUGGCAUUAUGGGGAUCAGAUAAAUAGCCAGCAUCAGUAUAUCCAAUUAAAGUAGGGUCUUGACUUCUACUAUAGAAAAGAUUUGGUUUGACCCAAAUCCUUCAUCUCAAAUUCCGUCUUUAAAUGAUGACGUGCUUCAUUUAUAUCUUUUUCGCUUCCAAUAAUAUUGAGGUCAUCAACAUAUACUGAAAUGAUACAAAAUCCAGUGGAGGACUUCUUAAUGAACACACAUGGACAAUCAUCAUUAUUAGUGUAUCCUUUAAGAGAAAGGAAUUCACUUAAGCGAUUGUACCACAUUCGCCCUGAUUGUUUUAAGCCAUACAGUGACUUUUUCAACUUUACACAAUACAUGUUACGAUUUGCCGAUGGAUUCGGUAUAUUUAUUCCAUCUGGAACUUUCAUAUAAAUUUCCGAAUCCAGUGACCCAUAUAAAUAUGCGGUUACUACGUCCAUCAACUGCAAAGAUAGACGAUUUUGUACUGCCAGUGAAAUUAAGUAUCGAAAUGUUAUGCCACUCAUUACUGGAGAAUAUGUUUCAUUAUAAUCAAUGCCGGGCUUUUGCGUAAAGCCUUGUGCUACUAACCUUGCUUUAUAUCUCACCACUUCGUUGUUUUCGUUUCGCUUACGAACGAAAACCCACUUGUAUCCUACUGGGAAGGUGCCUUUAGGUGUUAACAUCACUUCCGAGAAUACUUCUCUUUUAUAAAGCGAGGCAAUCUCUUUUUCAAUAGCUUCUUUCCACUGAUUCCAGUCUGAGCGUUUUCUACACUCUACCAUGGAUUUAGGAUCUAGAUCAUUAAGGAUGUCAGCAACUUGUUCAGAGAAAUAAGAGUCGACUACAGUAGCCUUGCGGUCAAAGGUUUCACCAGUUUCAAUAUAAUUGGUAGCAAGUUCAUCUACCCUUAAGGACACAUCAGGAUUUCCCAUAUCCAUGGUCCUCGGGUUUUCCGAUAUUACUUCUUCGACUAUGUGCGCAUUCGAAGAGGGUUGUGUAUCAAUUCCACAUUGUGUUUCAUCAAUUUGUUGUUGAUGUGCAUUUACCGUCUUUCUUUUCUUUAAAGGAGGCGAAUCCUUAUUGGUUGCCUUACUUCUCCCCCUUUUAUUAGUAGGAUUUUGAGUGGUUUUGUUUGGUACCUCCACUCUUUCAGGCGCGUUCCUAGCAGGAAUGAAAGACUUUAUUACACCUUUGUAAUUAGUGAAUGCAUCAGGCAGGUUAUUUGCAAUAUUUUGCAAACCAAUAAUUUUCUGAACUUGGAGUUCAUUUUCUUUAGUACGGGGAUCUGAGGAGGAGAUACUCUUCGCAUCCCAAUCAAUUUCUCGGCAUUCUCCUUUCUGGUACUUGAAAUCUCCCCCUAAUGCCGGGAAAUGCUCCUCAUUAAAAAUACAAUCAGCGAACCGGGCCGUAAAUAGAUCACCCGUUAGGGGUUCUAAAUACUUUAUUAUUGACGGAGAUUGGUAACCCACAUAAAUCCCUAACUUUCUAUGGGGGCCCAUAGAGGUACGCUGUGGUGGUGAUAUCGGUAUAUAAACGGCACACCCGAAUUUACGCAAAUGGGAAAUCCUAGGAGGGUCCCCUCGUACUAACUCCAAGGGAGAGGAGUCAUGAUAUGCAGUUGGUCUUAGUUGUAGUAGGUCGGCAGAGUGUAAAACUGCAUGACCCCAACAUGACGUAGGCAAAGAGCAAUUCAUUAGUAAUGGACGCGCAACGAGCUUUAUUCUUUUGAUUAAAGAUUCAGCCAAACCAUUUUGAGUGUGGACAUAUGGGACUGAGUGCUGAACCUGAAUUCCUAAAGCCAUACAAUAAUCAUUAAAGGCAUGGGAGGAGAAUUCAGCAGCAUUGUCCAUUCGGAUCGAUUGGAUCCGAUGUUCAGGAUAAUGUGCCUUUAGCUUUAUAAUUUGUGACAUUAUUUUAGCAAAAGCAUGGUUUCUAGUUGACAGUAAACACACAUGUGACCAUCUUGUAGAUGCAUCGAUUAAAACCAUAAAAUAUCUGAACGGUCCAGAAGAUGGCUCAAUUGGGCCACAAAUAUCGCCUUGAAUUCUUUCAAGAAAUCUAAGUGGUUCCGCUCGGAUUUUAAGAGGUGAAGGUCUUAAAAUCAAUUUCCCUGUAGCACAUGCAGUGCAUAUGUAAUCUGAAGAUUUGGGAAAUUUUGCUUCAGUCAAAUCAUGACCAAUCGAAUUGGUGAUAAUUUUUCUCAUCAUCCCGAUACCUGGGUGCCCUAGUCGAUCAUGCCAAAUUUGAAAUGCAUCGACAUUCUGAAAAAUUACCUUGUAUGUAACAUGUUCAAUGGGCUUGAUGUAUGUAUAAUAUAAUCCGGAUUCUAGAGUUGGAAUUUUUUCACAUAUCUGUUUGCCAUAUUUAGUAGGUUUGGUAAGAAGUAGAUAUUCUUCUUUAUUUUCUUCAUAUGUUUCCACAUGGAUCCCAUUCUUACGAAUAUCUCUAUAACUUAAUAAGGUACGAGUUGAAUCGGGAUAUAAUAAAGCAUUCUCGAUCACAAUUUGAGUACCCAUUGGAAGAGUGAUAAUGGCUCUGCCAGAACCGACUAUCAAUGCAUCUCUUCCAGCAAUUGUUAAAACAUUUCCUUCCCUUUUCUUUAAAGUCUGGAAAUAUUUUAUCUCAGUUAAUAUAGAGUUUGUGGUACAGCUAUCCACAAGGCAUAAUUCCUCCUCCAAUGAACCAUUUCCGGUAGACAUCUAUAUUAAUAACAAGAAUUAUGUGAUUAAUUCUUUAUUUUAUUAAAUAUUUAUUUAUACAUACAUAUGGUAUCUGAUAUCAAUAUUACAAUAAUAAUAUUAUGGUAUAUAUGAGUUUUUGUACUAUCAUUAGUACAACUCUUAUUGUAAUAACUAUAUUCAAAUCCUAAGCAAACUCUAUAUAAUAUGACUUCUAACUAUGAAUUAUAUUACAACACUUAAAUGAUUUGGGUAUCAAAUUUCAAAAGUAGAUAUCUAAACUAGAUCUCCACAUAUGUCGCCCGAGUUGUAUUCAAUCAUCAUGUCGUCCAUCUGCUGAGCGGAUGCCUUGUUGUUGGAACAACCAAUCUCCUUAUCUUUCUCAGUAGCUUGAUUGAAGUGGGCUUCAUAUCUUGAUCUUUUAUUGCCAUCUCGGAGUGACCUUAAAUAAUGGUCUACCAAAUGCUUAGGAGUACGGCAAGUGGCCGCGAAAUGCGUGUUACAACCACACUUGUGACAAAGACGUGGUUUGUCAUUUGCAAUUUUUUCAUUUCCACGAGCUCUCUUGUUUUCUUUAUGCCUAAGGUUCUUUUUAUAGUUGCGACCACGAUGAGCAGGAGGAAAUUUUGGAUUUCUAAGUGGAGAUCCAUUAAAUUUCCUUUUAUUCAGAGCUUUAUUCUGUGCAUGGUGGACCUCGGGUAGAGGUGCAGCACCAACUGGACGUAAAUGAUGGUUCUUCAUAAGUAACUCAUCAUUCUUCUCGGCUUGAAUUAGUGAGUGAAUAAGCUGGGAAUAAACUUGGUGGUUCUCUUUACGAUAUUGAUUACACAAUACCCUGUCUGACGGGUGCAUAGUAGAUAAAGUUUUUUGUAUCUUUUCUGCAUCCGUUGGUUCUUUUUCACAAAAUUUCAACCUUGUGCAUAUGUUAUGAACUGUAUGAUUGUAAUCAGUUACAGAUUUAAAAUCGUGCUGAUAACGUGUUAAAAGUAAACGGUUGUGUGAACAGAGAAUGAGAACUCGUAGUCCCUUUCCAUUGAUCUAGUACAUAUUUAUACACAGUGAAGGUGUGUCUUUGUACCCCUUCGUGGAUUACAGAGAUAGAAAGAGUUAUAACUUUUCACUAACAGACACCUUUUCUAACAGACACCUAAUCACUAACUAUUUCUAUUUUCCGGAGUCCUUUGCUUCAUGCAUCCUGGCGACGAAUGGUUGUACCUUUUCCUGAACGGGUGUCUUUUCAUAAAGAUGAGAUCACCGU